GUUGACCGGUACUAAUAGGCCGAGGACUUGUUUACGAAGACGCUACGCAUCCACUGUGCGGUUCUGAAAGAACCGAACCGGACCACCUGGGUCCAGAGUCCAUCCUUGGGGUGGGUGUCUGGAGACUCGGGUGUCUACGGGUUGGUAAUUUCAUAGUGUUUCCGCGGUCAUGGCGGAGGGGAAACACCCGGUCCCAUUCCGAACCCGGUAGUUAAGCCCUCCUGCGCCGAUGGUACUGCACUGGUGACGGUGUGGGAGAGUAGGUCACCGCGGGAC
rnacentral:rRNA from 1 species